UGAUGAGAAGCUUGCUUCUCUGAUUUAGCGGCGGACGGGUGAGUAACACGUGGGCAACCUGCCCUGUAGACUGGGAUAACUUCGGGAAACCGGAGCUAAUACCGGAUAAUUCUUUUAGCCUCAUGGCUUUAAGCUAAAAGGCGCUUCGGCGUCACUACAGGAUGGGCCCGCGGUGCAUUAGCUAGUUGGUGGGGUAACGGCCUACCAAGGCAACGAUGCAUAGCCGACCUGAGAGGGUGAUCGGCCACAUUGGGACUGAGACACGGCCCAAACUCCUACGGGAGGCAGCAGUAGGGAAUCUUCCACAAUGGACGAAAGUCUGAUGGAGCAACGCCGCGUGAGUGAUGAAGGUUUUCGGAUCGUAAAACUCUGUUGUAAGGGAAGAACAAGUGCGUUAGGUAAUGAACGCACCUUGACGGUACCUUAUUAGAAAGCCACGGCUAACUACGUGCCAGCAGCCGCGGUAAUACGUAGGUGGCAAGCGUUGUCCGGAUUUAUUGGGCGUAAAGCGCGCGCAGGUGGUUUCUUAAGUCUGAUGUGAAAGCCCACGGCUCAACCGUGGAGGGUCAUUGGAAACU
rnacentral:rRNA from 1 species